rnacentral:rRNA from 1 species
CCUACGGGGGGCAGCAGUGAGGAAUAUUGGUCAAUGGGCGCGAGCCUGAACCAGCCAAGUAGCGUGAAGGAUGACUGCACUACGGGUUGUAAACUUCUUUUAUAAAGGAAUAAAGUGAGGCACGUGUGCCUUGUUGUGUGUACUUUAUGAAUAAGGAUCGGCUAACUCCGUGCCAGCAGCCGCGGUAAUACGGAGGAUCCGAGCGUUAUCCGGAUUUAUUGGGUUUAAAGGGAGCGUAGAUGGGUUGUUAAGUCAGUUGUGAAAGUUUGCGGCUCAACCGUGAAAUUGCAAUUGAUACUGGCAGUCUCGAGUACAGUUGAGGUAGGCGGAAUUCGUGGUGUAGCGGUGAAAUGCUUAGAUAUCACGAAGAACUCCGAUUGCGAAGGCAGCAUACUAA